UUCCGGUUGAUCCUGCCGGACCUGACUGCUAUCGGAUUGAUACUAAGCCAUGCGAGUCUUUGCAGUAAUGCAAGGCAUACGGCUCAGUAACACGUAGUCAACUUACCCUAUGGACGAGGAUAAUCUCGGGAAACUGAGCAUAAUACUCGAUAGAUCAUAAUGCCUGGAAUGGUUUAUGGUUAAAAUGAUUCGUCGCCAUAGGAUGGGACUGCGGCCUAUCAGCUUGUUGGUGAGGUAAUGGCCCACCAAGGCGAUUACAGGUACGGGCUCUGAGAGGAGAAGCCCGGAGAUGGGUACUGAGACACGGACCCAGGCCCUAUGGGGCGCAGCAGGCGAGAAAACUUUGCAAUGUGCGAAAGCACGACAAGGUUAAUCCGAGUGAUUUCUGCUAAAGAAAUCUUUUACCAGUCGUAAAACCGCUGGUGAAUAAGGGGUGGGCAAGUUCUGGUGUCAGCCGCCGCGGUAAAACCAGCACCUCAAGUGGUCAGGAUGAUUAUUGGGCCUAAAGCAUCCGUAGCCGGCUUUGUAAGUUUUCGGUUAAAUCCAUGUGCUCAACGCAUGGGCUGCCGAAAAUACUGCAUAGCUAGGGAGUGGAAGAGGUAGACGGUACUCAGUAGGUAGGGGUAAAAUCCUUUGAUCUAUUGAUGACCACCUGUGGCGAAGGCGGUCUACCAGAACACGUUCGACGGUGAGGGAUGAAAGCUGGGGGAGCAAACCGGAUUAGAUACCCGGGUAGUCCCAGCUGUAAACGAUGCAGACUCGAUGAUGCAUUGGCAUAAUAGCCAUUGCAGUGUCGCAGGGAAGCCGUUAAGUCUGCCGCCUGGGAAGUACGUACGCAAGUAUGAAACUUAAAGGAAUUGGCGGGGGAGCACCACAAGGGGUGAAGCCUGCGGUUCAAUUGGAUUCAACGCCGGG
rnacentral:rRNA from 1 species